AGGAUUCCAUUGACACUAACUGUUUGGCCGCUCUGAGCUCGGUCGAAGUUCAUCCCACUAGAUGUGGUUGUCGAGACGCUCUGAGCUCCCUUGGACUACUUGAAGAUGCAGAGACAUUGUUUCAGACCAUAGGCCUUGGGAAAGCUUGGAGCCUGGAACACUUCACAUAUCCCAAAUUACUGAAGGAGUUCUUAGCCACAUGUCGUCUUUGUUACAGUGAUCCUCAAGACCCAGUGGCGAGAGAGGGAACGCUCACAUUUUUCUUGAACAAGAAGCACUUUUCUAUGUCACUCUUUGAGUUUUGUGAGGUCUAUGACUUUCCCAAGGGGGAUGAUGUUCGUUUCACACGCUUUCCUCGACAAGACUCAAGUAAUUUCUGGGGUUUGAUUGGUCAGGGACAGUACACGUCCAAGGGUGCAAAGAUUACUGCCAUCCGCAAUCCGAAUCUCCGCAUUUUUGUCAAGAUCAUCAGCAACGCCAUUUUCUUCAAGGCUGAGUCAGGCUCAGUUCGGGAUGAUGAGAUGUGGAUGCUAUUUCAUGGACUUAGACAUCUGUUGGAAGAAUACAACGUCCCCGUUACGCUUACAGCGAAUUAUGCAGCCAUUAUGUGCGAGAUGUUUGUGAAAGUGAAGCUCAACCCUCCUAAGCAGCUGAUCAUGGGUACCUUUUUCACCCCUUUAUUCAUUCAUUGUUGUAUUGAUUUGUCUACCUCAGAAGUGAAUGAGAACAUAGUGCGAAUGGACAUAGAUUACUUGAUGCAUUGUCAUAUUCUGGUCAAGAGAUACGUUAACAAGUUUUGGGAUCUUCAAGGACUACCAUUGUACUGUAACCUCCACAGUCCAGCUAUCAUUGUGCUUCUCUCUCGGGAUAACUUGGUGUUUCUCCCUAGUUCUGAUUAUUUGAUUCCCAACCCUGCUCAGACAGCUGCUCCUGUACCUACUCGACGCAGACGAUCUACACGAGUUUCCCUGCCUGCACGGGCAGCAAUGGCUAGUGAUGAUGAGAUCGACGAGGAGGACCCCUCACAUGAUUAUUCUCCUCAGCCUCACAGGCUCCUCCCUCACAGUCCUGGACGAUACCAGCUACAGCCUACACCUCCACCUGGAGAUAUGUCUGCACAAUUGCAGUGGGUUGUUGAGUCUCAGAAGAUUAUAUACUCUAUGAUGCGCCGGAUGUGGAGAGCGAUGAUGAAGAUUAGACCCUAUUCUUGUGCUUCUGGUUCACGUACACAGGGAGAGGAUUCAGAGGAUGACGGUUUUGACAGCAGAUCAUAGCUCAGCAGACGUAGAAGAAGAAGCCACAGAAGCUCAGACCACACCUGGGCUAGCCAUUGGACAGGAGAACUGCCGCAAGCAUAGUCAGGAUACUACUGGCCCGAGUGGUACAGCUGCACGUCCUACAGACGAUCGUCUCAGCAGAAGCAGGAGGGAGCCAGGCCAGGCUCACAGCUCUAGUGAGAGUCCACCACGUCACCACUGAGCAGCGUAACACUCUCUAUUUUCCUUGUUAUAUACCAUUUUUCUUUUCUUUAUUUUGCUUCUCUUUGAGCCAGUCCGACGCUUCUUUUGGAUAUAUUCUCACACCGAGACAGUGUGAAAUAAGUCUGGGGGAGGUGUCAUUAGUCUACUGAUGCAGUUUGCUCUUUUUAUGUUUCAUUUUGAUGUUUUCUUGAGUCUGUCAGUUUGUUUUAUUGAGUCAAAUCGUGUCUGUUUUAUUAAGUCAAAAUGUUGUAUGAGAACUAUGAGCUUUUCUUAGGGAAUUUCACCUUGCUUGAUUUCGUUGCCUUUGGACCAUUUAGCAUUGUUUAAGGAUAACUUGGAACUUUAGGAAAAUUUAUGACUAGAUCACUCGUAUAAUCCCUCACUUCGAAAUUUGGAUUAUUUGAGCUUAACCUUGCUUAUUUGAACUUAAUUUUAACUUGUUAUAUCUCACUUAUGGGGUUGGUAAUCAUGUAAUGGAUAAUACAUUCAGAGUUUAAUCCGCGUUGUUUUACCACUUUUUGUAAACUAUGAAUGGCUAGACUCAUCUUUAGUCUAGUACCACACCUUUAACCCUAUCCAUGCUUUCAUGUGCAUUCAUGUGCAAAAAUUACGGAGUAUACAGACCGACAUAGGUUUCCUUUAAUUAGGAUUGUAGUUGUAGUUAUUUGGGAUGAUUGACAUUAAGCUUUUAUGGUUAUAUUGUUGAGCUUGUGCUGAGCUUUCAUGAUUGAGUUUGUUGAUGUAGUUUGUGAGACGAGAACUUGUUCCACUCCAAAGAAAGAGAAAAAACGGGAAAGGAGAAGUAAUUGUUUUGGAUUAAUUUUAUACUUAUGAUUUGCUUGGGGUUCGAAUUGGUUAAGGUAAUCCGAUUUUGCUUGGGAUUCAAUAAGGUUAGGGUGAUUUGAGUUGAAGGAAGUUAUGUACCUCCUAAUUGGUCUGUGUCUCACUGUGAUUAUGCAUAAUUAUUUGCAUCCAUUUGUUCUUUUUGAAUCUUAAACAACUGAGCCACUUGAAACGACAUUUACACCUUGACCAUAACGUGUUCGAUAUCCCCUUUGUGAGAGUGCAUGCAACUGCUAAUGAAUCUUAAAAGGUUAAGUUAUUCAGAUGUUCUCUUUCAUUUUAUAACUUUUAUUGAGUAAAAGUGUGUUAUUAGAGUCUUUUAGUCUAUUAUAGAGUCUUAAACAGGUUUUAGGUUGUUUUGGAAUAAAAUGAGUCUUUUUGUGAUGCAAACACAUAUUUGGAGAUGUAGAUUCAUGUAGAAGUGUCAGAUGUUUGGGAUCAGAUGGACGAAUUUCCACCGUUAGAUCUUUCUAAUAUUUUGACACAACAUGGCGAUAAACGUUAGCUUUCGUUUGCAAGUGAUUUCAAUGAAAUCUAACGGUGCAUUAAAGAGUUACAAUCGAUUUCGCGAAGACAUGUCAUUCUGACGAGUAGUUGAAGCAGAUGCAGAAUUGAAACCUGAGAGUGCCAGACCGAUCGGUCCACACCCGGACAGAUCGAUCCCUUACCUCUGACUCGUAUUUUGACUCAGAUCCAACUCAUCUCCUAUUAUUUUUAUACCCUAGGCUCGACUUUUUAGCAACUAUCCUUCAUUUUCUCAGUUCUAAACAUUGUUCUUUGCUUUCUAAACAAUGUUUGGGAGAAGAAUUCAUCCUCUUUGACAAUUUGGAGGAGAUUUCUAAACCAUUUCUUAUUGUUUAUGCAAUUUCAUCAUGUUUUCUUCAUCUAUGAUUUAUUAUAUUUCAUUUUCUAUGUGUGAAUAGUUUCUUAAUUGGGUUUUAGAGUUCAAAGUAGAAGAUUCAAUGAAUUAGUGGAUUGAUUGCUUUAAUGGAUUCUUAUUCUAUGGCUCUUCAAUUUAUAUGUUUCCAAUGCUAUAAUAGGAUUGAUCACCCUGUUUUAGAACUUAGGCUUUUAUUUGUUUCAGAGAUGUUUGAUGCAAUGCCUGAAUGAGUAUUAACUAAGUAUUUUAUUUCUAGCCUGCGAGAGUUGAUAUGUGAAACCUCGGUUGCGGAGAGGUUUAAAUGAAUUGAUUUGACCACCUAUGUCACCAAAGUGCACUUAUCUUUUCGGUCAAAGGUCCUGAGAAAACUCUACAAUUUAGCGUGCUUAUACUGGAGUAGUCAAAGGAUGGGUGACCUUUCGGGAAGUAGUUGUCGGAACUGUGAGUGAGGCCAAAACACAAAGAAAUAUCAUGUGGUGAUUUGUAGGGUCGGUAAACAAUUAUUUAAGUCUCCCAGACAUAGCUAACCGACCAUCGUAUAUUAAUGUGCUCAUGGGCCUAGUGAGAGGACGUGAGGCCCAUUAAAAGAGGUGGGCCCAUGGGGUGGUGGUGAACAUGGGGACCACUAGAGAGGUGACGAUCGGGACGUUACAUGAUGUUAGAAUGUAUCGUGAACUUAAUGAAACUAUUCGAUAAUGCGAAUUUAACUAGCAAAUUACAAAUGAGAGUUUAGUAAUUGAGUAGUUGAAUUUAGUGAUUAAUGCCUUGAGAGAGAAUUAAUCUGAAUUUUUGUUCAUGUUUAAAAAUGGUUCUUCAUGUAUGAAUCCUUGUUGCUUUUAUUCACUAGAUUGUUCUUUGAAAUACCCUGCUGCCCAAUGUCUUUAAUUUAUAAGUUUAAUCUCUUUUAUUUGCAUUUUUUAUUUACAAUUCUGAAAACCAAAUAAAUAACCUUUUCGCUUUAGCUAAAAACGAGUCUCGCAAAUUUUUAAGAGUAUCUUUGUUCCCUGUGAUCGAUCAUGCUUAGACUUCCUUUCGGUUAAGUUAUCGGGUUAAAUACUCGAGUAAUCAACUCUCUUUAGAGGGUCAGACAGGUGUAUCUCUGUGAUCAUAUGCUCAUCAACGUAUGUCCAUCAAUCGUGGGUUGCUUUACUAGCUUAUCCAAUUCAAAAGUCAUCCCCAUGUGUAGUCCAUUCUUCACAUCUAUCAAAGCUCCAGCAGUAGCCAAGAAGGAUCUCCCAAGGAUAAGAGGAUCCUUAGGUUCUUUACCAUACUCAAGAACGACAAAAUCAGCAGGAAUCAUGCAUUCUCCAGUUCAGACAAGAGCAUCUUCUAAAAGACCAUCGAGAAUGCGGACAGAGCGGUCAGCUAAAACAAGAGUGGUCUUGGUUGUUGUGAAAUCUUUCAUACCUAGGCUGAGAGUAACUGAUCGGGCAUCAAAUUGAUGUUGGAACCAAGAUCACACAAAGAUCUCGCGAACCUAGUAUUGAAGAUGGAGAAAUCGAAACAUGUGAUCCGAAGUCCAAUUGACCUAAAGAAGUGAUAGAGAAGAAACUUUGGACUAAAACAAGUGAAGAAGAAGAUUUGUACCAUUCGACCACACCACACGAUGCACCAAACGACCGAGCAAGUGAUUGUUUCUCUUGGUUUAGUUCUUGUUUCUUAUGUUUUAGAACUUUUACACUUUGUUUUGCAUCUUUAUGAUGAUCUUUCAUCUGUGUUUAAGAACAUGUGAUUCGAAGUCCAGUUGAGCUAAGGAAAUGAUUGAGAUGA